GAAAAAAAAAAACACACAAC
rnacentral:miRNA from 1 species